UGGGGAAUAUUGGACAAUGGGCGCAAGCCUGAUCCAGCCAUGCCGCGUGUGUGAAGAAGGCCUUUUGGUUGUAAAGCACUUUAAGCGAGGAGGAGGCUACUUGGAUUAAUACUCUAGGAUAGUGGACGUUACUCGCAGAAUAAGCACCGGCUAACUCUGUGCCAGCAGCCGCGGUAAUACAGAGGGUGCGAGCGUUAAUCGGAUUUACUGGGCGUAAAGCGUGCGUAGGCGGCUUCUUAAGUCGGAUGUGAAAUCCCUGAGCUUAACUUAGGAAGUGCAUUCGAUACUGGGAAGCUAGAGUAUGGGAGAGGAUGGUAGAAUUCCAGGUGUAGCGGUGAAAUGCGUAGAGAUCUGGAGGAAUACCGAUGGCGAAGGCAGCCAUCUGGCCUAAUACUGACGCUGAGGUACGAAAGCAUGGGGAGCAAACAGG
rnacentral:rRNA from 1 species